GAAAAGUUGUGCCGAACAGUAUUACUGGCCUGACAGGAAAAGUUGUGCCGAGCAGCAAUCAAAUCCACAGAAGGGUUUGUGCUGAGCAGCAAUUAUGCAAAUGAAACCUGGUAACUGCCUUUGGGUUCAAAGGCUGAUUACAGCAUAUCAGAUCCAGAGCAGAAGACACCCGGCUCAACGAGGCUCCAGGAAAACUCAUAUAAACUCUUCACGAGAUGGUACAUCACCCCUGCGGACCUCCAUGCCAUAGAAAGCUCGAAACCGGACACGUGCUGGAGAUGCGUAAGGGAGACUGGGACGUUUCUACACCUCUGGUGGGACAGCGCCCUCAUUAGACCAUUUUGGGAAACAGUAGGGCAAGUGAUCAAUGAAAUUGCAGAUGAAAGCCUCCCAAUGACACCAGCUCCCUUCUUGCUACACCCAGGGCCGGUACAAGGAUUUUUGCCGCCCUAGGCAAAAGAAAGAUUUGCCGCCCCCCCUUCUCCCCCCCGGGACAUCGCAAUGCCCCACCCAUAUGAUCUGCCAUAUGAACUAGUGCCAGUGCUGCACACAGUGUAUGUUUACAUUAAAAAGCCUGCAGGGAC